GCCUACUUCGGUUCCCACUCAAUCCACUCCCAUGUGGACUUGGUUAUAGACUUGCUACAAGUCGACUCGUAUCAUUUGUGGACUCCAUUUGGCUCUGAGUUUGAGCUCAAAUUUCUUAAAGUGCGGAUAAGAUUCUAGCGAUGCAUGGGGGUUUUGUCCAUUCGUUUUAUUCGAUCACGCGUUCUCACUCGUUUUACUCAUGACAAGUUACAAUGCGUUACGGUGCGAGUCGACUUGUAGAAAGUCUAAAACUUGGCUACCUCGGUUUAUGGCAGUAUAGAGCGGUGUAUAUAGGCAUUUGUUGUGGGUAACUUCCGCAAUGCAUGGUUUGCUGAUUGCGCCGAUCUCGCCAAGUCUAAAACGGCAAUCCGCAUAACGACAAUUUCAAAUAUAUCUCUUAGCGUAUUAUGAACUAUCAUUAUUUUUAUAGAUAAAACGUUCAGAAUUGGUUCCAAAAUAUUUUUGUCCUCAUCGAUCAGGUCAUUGUCAUCGAGAGGUGAGAACAUACAAUCUAAGAUUA